CGGGAUACAUUGAAAUACAAUAAAAAAGAAAGAAUGCAAUCAAAUACAUAAAAAUACUGCGAAAUAUAUUAAAAUAUAUCAACGAAAAAUUUAAGUUACUCAGCCCCGGAUGAAUGGGUAAAGUCACGUCGGAAGGAGAUGUAUCUACAUAUGGAUGGAUAAAGCAAGAAUAAGUUCAGACCAACGCUGGCAGUGAUACUCUCACAAUUCACAAACAAUGGCGUCCAUAUCCAUUCCUCUAGCAUAUAAA
rnacentral:lncRNA from 1 species